GCCUGGUGGCUAAAACUCCCGCUUCACACACGGAGGGCCCGGGUUCGAUUCCCGGCGGGUGGAAACAUUUCGACACGUUUCCUUACACCUGUUGUCCUGUUCACCUAGCAGCAAAUAGGUACCUGGGUGUUAGUCGACUGGUGUGGGUCGCAUCCUGGGGGACAAGAUUAAGGACCCCAAUGGAAAUAAGUUAGACAGUCCUCGAUGACGCACUGACUUUCUUGGGUUAUCCUGGGUGGCUAACCCUACGGGGUUAAAAAUCCGAACGAAAUCUUAUCUUAUCUUUUCCGGACACUGGAAGACAGGGCUCGAUACGGCGUAAGCUGUCAGUGGCCCUGUAAAUCCCAACAACAACAACAUGGAUAGAUGUGCUGGCGUUGCUGUACUAAGUUUAUAUACAUCUAGGUCACAACUGAGAGGACUUAGAUUGAACUUGGACAGGAAGAGAUGCAUGUCCCUGUUCAACUAGCAGUAAAUGGGUGCCUGGAUGUUAGUUGCAAGUUGUGGGAGGAAUCCUGAGGAAGAGGACCUAAAGUCUAAGGAACUCAUUGGCAUUACUUCAUCAGAACCAACCUUAACAAGGGAUACCAACAUAUGGCUAAGAACAGCAGCACUUCAUUUAGUCUACUCAUUGGGGUACCAAAGGCAGGGUCCUGAUGCACAGCUAUUCCUUCUUUACAUCAGUGACUUCCAAAUAAAUCAAGAUUGAGACGAGUAUCAGCGACAACUGUUGUUCAUCUCCUGCAAGUUUAAUGCUUCUCCAAUGAAGAUGUACUGUUGACCACUGUAGUUUAAUUCCUGAAAACAUUAGUAAAAAAAAAUUAAAUGUAUGAAGAGUGAUGUGACAGGCAGUACCACCACCUUCCAACAUCAGUAAAUUAUUAUAAUCAUAACCAAGCAUUAAACACUGCCCAAUAUCAGUAAAAAUACUAUAUUACCAGUUAUGGGAAAAAGUUACAUACUAAAUUAUAUAUCAUCUUAGUGAUGCUGGGCAUUCAUGUUUAAGCUAAGGGGAAGACAAGCCCAGGUUCAUGGAUCUAGAGUCCUUCACUAUAUACACAUUUUAUCCCACUUCAAUUUAACCCUCUUUCAAUAAUAAUAAUGGUACCAUACACUUUACAUGAUACUGGAUAACCAACAGGCUUAUUCCCUUUUUUUUUUUUUAUGCAUGCUCUGCCAAUCCUUAGGUACUUUCCACUUUCAUGCUUGUAUUGAAUAUGCUUAGCCAUUCCAAAAUUAUAUCCUCCACAUGCUUUUAGCAUCUCCUCUAUCUCAUGUCCUGGCCACUUCAUUCCACACACAUUUCCCUCACACUUGCCUCUGGCUCUUCUUACUCCUACAAGCACAAUACCCAAAAAACUUAUCAAUCCUAUAGAGCAUCUGAAUACACAAGAGUCCCUGAAAUAAUUAACCAUUACACACACAUACUUGCAUUGUGUCUCAUGAACAUACAAGAUUAUAUGUUAAUCAUACAAACUUCUUCAUACUUUCAAGUUAGUCAGGCCUGAAUAUAUCUUUCUUGUGGAUUUCUUAAACAUUCAUAAUCCUGAAAUAAUUCCUUCAUAGCUUAAAAGGACUGGGCCACAGGGAAGCAUUAUGCACCUCCCUUUACCAAGUGCAUUUUACGAUAUAGUGUGUUCAUAUUUGUUUGGCAUAGCCUUGUCAAGAACUAUAGAUAUAAUGUAUACAAUUUAAUAUUUUUUCCUCUGUUAGCUUUUACCCAAAUGCAUUCAUACUUUGUGUAUGAUCAUUAUAUAUACAGAGCUCAUAUAUAUUUGAAGAUUGGUCAGGAACCAGAGGAUAUGUAGCUGAAAGCCAUGAGUGAAAAGCACAUUCUCCCAGCAGUGUCUGGCCACACACUGAGUUGUGAUGGGCCAGACGAGUUGAUUGGCUACACACACCACCCUUCAACACUCACUCCACCAUUACUGAAUUUAACCCUUCCACUGUUGUGACUUCCAGAAUUAAGUGCUGACAGUGUUGCCAUUUAAAAAUAAUAAAAUCUGCAAUGGUAGAGAAUCUUUUUCUGAUGGUAAUGACACCAAAAAUGUGAAAUCUGAUAUAAAAUUUAUGGAAUUAAGCAGGCACAGAUUUGGUGGUCUGCACACAUUUCAUUCCUCAAUUCAAUCAAAUUCUUAGCUAUUUUGCUAGUAUACUUCCCAUUAAUUUAAAUGUUGUCUGAAAUGCACUGCAUAACCAGAGGCUUUCUGUUUAGUCUUUUAAACAUAUUUAUUGCUUUAUGAAUUGUAUACUGAACUGUAUGAAAAUAAAGAUUUUUAAUUUUUAA